UACGUAGGCAGCAAGCGUUGUUCGGAGUUACUGGGCGUAAAGGGUGCGUAGGCGGUCCUAUAAGUAUGGUGUGAAAUCUCCCGGCUUAACUGGGAGGGUGCGCUAUAGACUGUGGGACUAGAGUGUGGGAGAGGAAAGUGGAAUUCCUGGUGUAGCGGUGAAAUGCGUAGAUAUCAGGAGGAACACCGGCGGCGAAGGCGGGUCUCUGGGCCGUAACUGACACUGAGGAGCGAAAGCGUGGGGAGCGAACAGG
rnacentral:rRNA from 1 species